CCAAAAGUUCUGGUGAGAGCACCGUUACUGAAACGGAGGAAGGGAAGAAGAACAAAGCACCCAAGCAGCCAAAGCUUGUCCAUGAGAUCCCCAUGGAACUGAGUGUAAAUGAUGUGCCUGACCUGUUGGAGGACGAACUGAAGAGCUCAAUGAAAAAGGAUGUUUAGAAUGGCUCUGCCGGGUUAAAGCUCCAGAUUCCCAGACUUGACCAUCAGAGAUCUAGAGAAACAGGAAAGAGAGAAAUUGGCCAGCAGCUUGGAGUCAUUCAUCCUUGAGACCCAGGAGAAGCUUUACGAAGAGGAGCAUCUGUUUUUCUCAUCAGGGGAGCAGAGAGAAGACAUUUCCAAAAAGCUUAGCGAGGCUUCUGUUUGGAUGGAGGAGGGUAC